rnacentral:rRNA from 1 species
GUAGGUGGCAAGCGUUGUCCGGAAUUAUUGGGCGUAAAGCGCGCGCAGGCGGUUCUUUAAGUCUGAUGUGAAAGCCCACGGCUCAACCGUGGAGGGUCAUUGGAAACUGGAGAACUUGAGUACAGAAGAGGAAAGCGGAAUUCCACGUGUAGCGGUGAAAUGCGUAGAGAUGUGGAGGAACACCAGUGGCGAAGGCGGCUUUCUGGUCUGUAACUGACGCUGAGGCGCGAAAGCGUGGGGAGCAAACAAGAUUAGAUACCCUGGUAGUCCACGCCGUAAACGAUGAGUGCUAAGUGUUAGGGGGUUUCCGCCCCCUUAGUGCUGCAGCUAACGCAUUAAGCACUCCGCCUGGGGAUACGGCCGCAAGGCUG